rnacentral:rRNA from 1 species
UACGUAGGUGGCAAGCGUUGUUCGGAAUUAUUGGGCGUAAAGGGCGCGUAGGCGGUUUGUUAAGUCAGCUGUGAAAGCCCGGGGCUCAACCCCGGAGGGUCAGUUGAUACUGGCAGACUAGAGUACAGAAGAGGUAACUGGAAUUCCCGGUGUAGCGGUGAAAUGCGUAGAUAUCAAGAGGAACACCUGAGGUGAAGACGGGUUGCUGGGCCAACACUGACGCUGAUGCGCGAAAGCCAGGGGAGCAAACGGG